rnacentral:rRNA from 1 species
GGGAGCCGGAGGGAAACCGAGUCUUAACCGGGCGUUAAGUUGCAGGGUAUAGACCCGAAACCCGGUGAUCUAGCCAUGGGCAGGUUGAAGGUUGGGUAACACUAACUGGAGGACCGAACCGACUAAUGUUGAAAAAUUAGCGGAUGACCUGUGGCUGGGGGUGAAAGGCCAAUCAAACCGGGAGAUAGCUGGUUCUCCCCGAAAGCUAUUUAGGUAGCGCCUCGUGAAUUCAUCUCCGGGGGUAGAGCACUGUUUCGGCUAGGGGGCCAUCCCGGCUUACCAACCCGAUGCAAACUGCGAAUACCGGAGAAUGUUAUCACGGGAGACACACGGCGGGUGCUAACGUCCGUCGUGAAGAGGGAAACAACCCAGACCGCCAGCUAAGGUCCCAAAGUCAUGGUUAAGUGGGAAACGAUGUGGGAAGGCCCAGACAGCCAGGAUGUUGGCUUAGAAGCAGCCAUCAUUUAAAGAAAGCGUAAUAGCUCACUGGUCGAGUCGGCCUGCGCGGAAGAUGUAACGGGGCUAAACCAUGCACCGAAGCUGCGGCAGCGACACUGUGUGUUGUUGGGUAGGGGAGCGUUCUGUAAGCCUGCGAAGGUGGCCUGUGAGGGUUGCUGGAGGUAUCAGAAGUGCGAAUGCUGACAUAAGUAACGAUAAAGCGGGUGAAAAGCCCGCUCGCCGGAAGACCAAGGGUUCCUGUCCAACGUUAAUCGGGGCAGGGUGAGUCGACCCCUAAGGCGAGGCCGAAAGGCGUAGUCGAUGGGAAACGGGUUAAUAUUCCCGUACUUGGUGUUACUGCGAAGGGGGGACGGAGAAGGCUAUGUUGGCCGGGCGACGGUUGUCCCGGUUUAAGCGUGUAGGUGUGUGUUCCAGGUAAAUCCGGUUCACUUUAACACUGAGGCGUGACGACGAGGCACUACGGUGCUGAAGCAACAAAUGCCCUGCUUCCAGGAAAAGCCUCUAAGCAUCAGGUAACAUCAAAUCGUACCCCAAACCGACACAGGUGGUCAGGUAGAGAAUACCAAGGCGCUUGAGAGAACUCGGGUGAAGGAACUAGGCAAAAUGGUGCCGUAACUUCGGGAGAAGGCACGCUGACACGUAGGUGAAGUGAUUUACUCAUGGAGCUGAAGUCAGUCGAAGAUACCAGCUGGCUGCAACUGUUUAUUAAAAACACAGCACUGUGCAAACACGAAAGUGGACGUAUACGGUGUGACGCCUGCCCGGUGCCGGAAGGUUAAUUGAUGGGGUCAGCGCAAGCGAAGCUCCUGAUCGAAGCCCCGGUAAACGGCGGCCGUAACUAUAACGGUCCUAAGGUAGCGAAAUUCCUUGUCGGGUAAGUUCCGACCUGCACGAAUGGCGUAAUGAUGGCCAGGCUGUCUCCACCCGAGACUCAGUGAAAUUGAACUCGCUGUGAAGAUGCAGUGUACCCGCGGCAAGACGGAAAGACCCCGUGAACCUUUACUAUAGCUUGACACUGAACAUUGAGCCUUGAUGUGUAGGAUAGGUGGGAGGCUUUGAAGUGUGGACGCCAGUCUGCAUGGAGCCGACCUUGAAAUACCACCCUUUAAUGUUUGAUGUUCUAACGUGGACCCGUUACCCGGGUUGCGGACAGUGUCUGGUGGGUAGUUUGACUGGGGCGGUCUCCUCCUAAAGAGUAACGGAGGAGCACGAAGGUUGGCUAAUCCUGGUCGGACAUCAGGAGGUUAGUGCAAUGGCAUAAGCCAGCUUGACUGCGAGCGUGACGGCGCGAGCAGGUGCGAAAGCAGGUCAUAGUGAUCCGGUGGUUCUGAAUGGAAGGGCCAUCGCUCAACGGAUAAAAGGUACUCCGGGGAUAACAGGCUGAUACCGCCCAAGAGUUCAUAUCGACGGCGGUGUUUGGCACCUCGAUGUCGGCUCAUCACAUCCUGGGGCUGAAGUAGGUCCCAAGGGUAUGGCUGUUCGCCAUUUAAAGUGGUACGCGAGCUGGGUUUAGAACGUCGUGAGACAGUUCGGUCCCUAUCUGCCGUGGGCGCUGGAGAACUGAGGGGGGCUGCUCCUAGUACGAGAGGACCGGAGUGGACGCAUCACUGGUGUUCGGGUUGUCAUGCCAAUGGCACUGCCCGGUAGCUAAAUGCGGAAGAGAUAAGUGCUGAAAGCAUCUAAGCACGAAACUUGCCCCGAGAUGAGUUCUCCCUGAGACUUAAAGUCUCCUGAAGGAACGUUGAAGACGACGACGUUGAUAG